GCCUGGGUGGCUCAGUCGGUUAAGCGUCUGACUUCGGCUCAGGUCAUGAUAUCACGGUCCGUGGGUUUGAGCCCCGCAUUCGGGCU
rfam:Felis catus isolate Cinnamon breed Abyssinian chromosome B1, whole genome shotgun sequence.